CACGUAGGGUGCGAGCGUUGUCCGGAAUUAUUGGGCGUAAAGAGCUCGUAGGCGGUGUGUCGCGUCGGCCGUGAAAACCUGGGGCUUAACUCUGGGCUUGCGGUCGAUACGGGCAUCACUGGAGUUCGGCAGGGGAGACUGGAAUUCCUGGUGUAGCGGUGAAAUGCGUAGAUAUCUGGAGGAAUACCGGUGGCGAAGGCGGCAUCCUGGACCGGCAUUGACGCUGAG
rnacentral:rRNA from 1 species